UUAUGCAUGAGCCGGUGCCCAUCUGACGCAGCCGCAGCCGCGACUUGCUGAGGGGUGUGGCUGAGAUCAUACGGCCUUGAACUUGAUCUGGAUAAUACCAGCGAAAGGAUCAUGCAGGCGAACCUA
rnacentral:ncRNA from 1 species